GCUCUUCCAAUCUGCCUCUACUCGUGUCCUAGCUCGUAUGAGAGCUAGAUUUGCCUCAAUUGUUUGUCUCUUGCCUUCAGCUUUACUCAAGUUAGCUUCUGCUAUUUCAAGAGUUUGCUGAGCUUCUUGUGGAUCAAUAUCACUACCCUUCUCCGCAUCAUUUACUAAAAUAGAUCGGAGGAGCAC